GUCAAGUCAAGCUAAUUAUCUCUAUAAAUCUUCUAUUGCCUUCAGCCCCAACACUUCCUUAGCAAUUAAAAGUUUGGUUGUGAACAAUCUUCAGGUAGGGGAGACUACUAAUUUGGGUUUUUACUUGGGGUUGCCUCCAUCUGUCAGUAGGAAUAAGAAAGAGGUUAGGUUUAUUAAAGAAAAGGUGCGGUAUAGGCUAUA
rnacentral:misc_RNA from 1 species